rnacentral:rRNA from 1 species
UACGUAGGGUGCGAGCGUUAAUCGGAAUUACUGGGCGUAAAGCGUGCGCAGGCGGUUCGUGAUGUCUGGUGUGAAAGCCCCGGGCUUAACCUGGGAAUUGCAUUGGAAACUAGCGGGCUGGAGUGUGGCAGAGGGGGGUGGAAUUCCACGCGUAGCAGUGAAAUGCGUAGAGAUGUGGAGGAACACCGAUGGCGAAGGCAGCCCCCUGGGCUAACACUGACGCUCAUGCACGAAAGCGUGGGGAGCAAACAGG